rnacentral:tRNA from 1 species
AAGACUUUAAGUUAAAUUCAAACUUGUAGCCUUCAAAGUUAUACAUAUCUGACAUAAUCUAGGUAAGUCUUA